rnacentral:rRNA from 1 species
UGUCUUUUUGUAAAUAAUAUAAAGUCUAAUCUGCCCACUGAUAAAUAUUGAAGGGCUGCAGUAUAUUGACUGUACAAAGGUAGCAUAAUCAUUAGUCAUUUAAUUGAUGACUUGUAUGAAAGAUUGGAUGAAAUAUAAACUGUCUCUUAAUUAUAAAUAGAAUUUAAUUUUUUUAUUAAAAAGUUAAAAUAAUUUAAAAAGACGAGAAGACCCUAUAGAGUUUUAUAAUUAAAAUAAUUAAUAUUAUUUGUUAAAUUAAAGUUGAAAUUAUUUUAUUUAUUAUAUUGGGGUGAUAAAAAAAUAUAUAUAACUUUUUUUUAAAUAAAAACAUUUAUAAGUGAUUAAUUGAUCCAAUAUUAUUGAUUAUAAGAAAAAAUUACCUUAGGGAUAACAGCGUAAUUUUUUUUUUUAGUUCAUAUAAUAAAAAGAGUUUGCGACCUCGAUGUUGGAUUAAGAUAAAAUUUAAAUGCAGAAG